ACUUCUCGAUGGAGAGAGAGAGAAGCUUUUUGUAUUUAAGUGAGUGAGAGACCGAAACAAAAAAUAUAAAAAGAAAAUGUCCAACAAACACAAAACAUCAAUGAAACCUUUGUCCUAAUCUUGCAAAAAAGGUAUAAAGAUACCUAAGGAGAGAGAGAAUCAAAGUUGGGUUUUUUUCUUUUUUUCUCAGACGAAAGCUACGGUUGUUGAAGAAGAAAAACAAAGAAAAAAAUCCUAACCCUAGAAAUGUUAUUAGGUUUUUUGCUCUGCUGCUCUUUGAUGUUGAUACAGUAAAGGCCAAAAGUUUUUUUUUUCCUUUCUUUGUCUCUGAGGAUUCACAAGUAAGAUUAAAGUUUCAGACUUUUUGUUGUAAGUGAAAUCAAUCUUUAGUUAACUCUCAUUUUGUUGCUUCAGUUUGUUGGAUCGGUGAAAAGAAAUUAGGGUUUGCUUGAAAAAGAGUUUUUUAUUUUUAUUUAUUUUUGUUUAUUAUGGUUUUUAAGAAUUUGGGUUUUCGUUAUUUUUGCCAGAAGGGCCUUUCGUAUACUGAUUUGAAGCUUUAAAUGGUUUCAAGGUUGUUAGUUGGCAAAGUGAAAACAGAGUGUUUAAUGAGUGAUUUUGAAGGUUAAUGUAACUGCAAAAGGAAAUUCAAGGAGAAGCAUUUUCUGGGUAUUUCUUAUGGUUUAUAUGAAUUGUAGGAUUUUGCUGGCGUGGUAAGGUUUUUUUAGAGGAAGAAUUUUGGGUUAGUUGUAGUGGAAAAGUUAAUUUCUUGGUUUAACAUUCGAUCUUUGAGCUGGAUCGACUAGGAGUUCCCGGGAUGAUGUCUUCCUUAAGUAGGGAGCUGGUGUUUUUGAUCUUGCAGUUCCUGGAUGAGGAAAAGUUCAAGGAAACCGUUCAUAAGUUAGAACAAGAGUCUGGUUUUUUCUUCAAUAUGAAACAUUUUGAGGACCAAGUCCAGGCUGGUGAAUGGGAUGAAGUUGAACGUUAUCUAUGUGGGUUCACUAAAGUUGAGGAUAACCGUUACUCGAUGAAGAUUUUCUUUGAAAUUAGGAAGCAGAAGUAUUUGGAAGCUCUUGACAGGCAGGAUCGAGCAAAGGCUGUUGAAAUUCUGGUAAAGGAUCUGAAGGUUUUUUCAUCCUUUAAUGAAGAACUUUUCAAGGAGAUUGCCCAGUUGCUCACACUUGAUAACUUUAGGCAAAAUGAGCAGCUUUCAAAAUAUGGAGACACAAAAUCUGCUCGAAAUAUCAUGCUUGUAGAACUUAAGAAGCUGAUUGAAGCAAAUCCUUUAUUUCGUGAUAAGCUUACAUUCCCAGCCUUUAAAAGUUCACGACUAAGGACUUUAAUAAACCAGAGUCUAAAUUGGCAGCAUCAGCUUUGCAAGAAUCCUCGUCCAAACCCUGACAUUAAAACUCUCUUUACGGAUCACUCUUGUUCUCCCACUACCAAUGGUGCUCGCCCUCCUCCUCCUAUGAACAGUGCCCUUGUUGGACCAAUUGCCAAGGCCGGGACAUUCCCAGCUAUUGGUGCCCAUGGUCCAUUUCAGCCUGUUGUUUCCCCUUCUUCUGGUGCUAUAGCGGGGUGGAUGUCAAGUGGUAAUCCUUCCUUACCUCAUGCAGCAACUGUGGCAGCAGGCCCCCCUGGUCUUGUCCAGCCUUCAAAUGCCGCUGCUUUCCUCAAGCAUCCAAGGACACCAUCAGGUAUGCCAGGGAUGGAUUAUCAGUCGGCUGAUUCAGAGCAUUUGAUGAAGCGCAUUCGCGCUGGCCAAUCUGAUGAGGUAUCGUUUUCUGGUGUAGCACAUACUCCUAAUGUCUACUCACAAGACGACCUUCCGAAAACCGUGGUGCGGGCCCUUAAUCAAGGAUCUAAUGUCAUGAGCAUGGACUUUCAUCCUCAACAACAAACUAUUCUCCUAGUUGGCACAAAUGUUGGUGAUAUUAGCCUUUGGGAAGUAGGAUCUCGGGAAAGGUUGGUCCAUAAACCAUUCAAGGUUUGGGAUUUCUCUGCUGUUUCCAUGCCUUUGCAGACACCACCAUUGAAUGAUGCUGUGAUAUCUGUAAAUCGAUGUGUUUGGGCACCUGAUGGAUUUAUGCUUGGUAUUGCAUUUUCAAAGCAUAUAGUCCAAAUAUAUCAGUACAAUCCAAUGGGAGAAUUAAGACAGCAUUUUCAGAUUGAUGCCCAUGUUGGAGGUGUUAAUGACAUAGCAUUUGCUCAUCCCAAUAGGCAAUUAUGUAUUGUUACGUGUGGGGAUGAUAAGACAAUUAAGGUAUGGGACACUGUAGCUGGACGAAGACAUUAUACAUUUGAAGGCCAUGAGGCUCCUGUAUAUUCUGUUUGUCCUCAUUAUAAAGAAAAUAUUCAGUUUAUCUUUUCCACUGCCAUUGAUGGGAAGAUUAAAGCUUGGUUAUAUGAUGGAAUGGGAUCUAGAGUGGAUUAUGAUGCCCCUGGAUUUUGGUGCACCACAAUGGCAUACAGUGCUGACGGAACCAGGCUCUUCUCUUGUGGAACCAGUAAAGAUGGUGAAUCCCAUUUAGUUGAGUGGAAUGAGAGUGAAGGAGCUAUUAAAAGAAGAUAUUCUGGUUUUAGGAAGCGUUCUUCAGGUGUUGUCCAAUUUGACACAACCAAGAACAGGUUCUUAGCAGCUGGUGAUGAAUUCGAGAUUAAGUUCUGGGACAUGGAUAAUACUACCAUGUUGACAGCUAUCGAUGCGGAUGGUGGUUUGCCUGCUAGUCCCAGACUAAGAUUCAACAAGGAAGGGUCAUUGUUGGCCGUUACAACUAGUGAUAAUGGUAUCAAAAUCUUGUCUAACAGUGAUGGUUCACGCUUGUUAAGGAUGUUGGAGAGUAAGGCUGUUGAUAAAAAUCGAGGCCCUUCUGAACCUAUCAAUUCUAAGCAGCCAUUGAUUGUUAAUGCUCUUGGUCCUGUGGGAAAUGCUGCCAUUGCUCCAGCCCUUGAACGCCCAGAUAGAGUCCCCCCUGCUGUAUCUAUUAGCAGUCUUGGUACCAUGGACAGCAGCAGGCUUGUUGAUGUUAAACCACGGAUUUCAGAGGAUACAGACAGGAUCAAGAGCUGGAGAAUUCCUGACAUAAUAGAUCCAUCUCACCUGAAAGUCCUGCGAUUACCUGAUGCCAUAACAGCAGGAAAGGUUGUGAGGCUGCUGUAUACUAACUCUGGUCUUGCUCUUUUGGCCCUUGCUUCAAAUGCUGUUCACAAGCUUUGGAAAUGGCAACGUAGUGAAAGGAGUCCAUUAGGCAAGGCUACUGCAUAUGUUGCACCACAAUUGUGGCAGCCACCUAGUGGUACUCCUAUGACAAAUGAUAUAAGUGACACUAAACCUGCAGAAGAGUCUGCUGCAUGUAUUGCAUUAUCUAAAAAUGAUUCUUAUGUUAUGUCCGCAUCUGGAGGGAAGGUGUCAUUGUUCAACAUGAUGACAUUCAAGGUGAUGACCACCUUUAUGUCCCCUCCUCCUGCAGCCACAUUCUUGGCAUUUCAUCCCCAAGAUAAUAAUAUUAUUGCUAUUGGCAUGGAAGAUUCCUCGAUUCAAAUUUAUAAUGUCAGAGUUGAUGAGGUCAAAACCAAACUUAAGGGCCACCAGAAUCGGGUAACAGGACUUGCCUUUUCGCAAACUUUAAAUUCUCUGGUGUCGUCAGGGGCCGAUGCACAGUUAUGUGUUUGGAGCAUAGAUGGAUGGGAGAAAAAGAAAUCGAGGUUCAUACAGGCACCAGCUGGUCGUCAAUCUCCACUAGCAGGAGAAACCAGAGUCCAGUUUCACAAUGAUCAAACUCAUCUAUUGGUUAUCCAUGAAAGCCAAAUAGCCAUCUAUGACAGCAAGCUUGAAUGUUUGCGCUCUUGGUCUCCAAAAGAUUCACUCAGUGCUCCCAUUUCAAGUGUAAUAUAUUCCUGUGAUGGCUCACUGAUUUAUGCUGGUUUUUGUGAUGGUGCUAUUGGAGUUUUUGAUUCGGAUAACUUGAGGCUCAGAUGUCGAAUAGCACCUUCUGCUUACAUACCUUCAUUCUCUGUCAGCAGCAACAGUGCAUAUGCUGUGGUCAUAGCUGCUCACCCAUCUGAGCCCAACCAGAUUGCGCUCGGCAUGAGCGAUGGAGCAGUACAUGUGGUGGAACCCUCUGAUGUAGACUUGAAAUGGGGUACUACACCCUCUCAAGAUAAUGGAUCCAUCCCUUCUAGUUCAUCAAAUCCUUCCAUAAGUGGUCAACCAACAGAGCUACCUUCAAGGUGAUAGUGGUGUAAUGUAGAUAAAAUAGAUGUUACCACAAGUGUAGAGAGAGACAUUUACGAGUUAUAGGUGCAAGACUUCUGCAGGCAAAAAUCAGCCCUUUGGCCACACUCUUACCCUUUCCCCAUACACUUUCACGUUUGAUAUUUUGGUGAAUGAUUAUGUCUUUCAUUUCAUUGGUGAAUGAGAAGCUGGAUUAUUAGCCUAAUGUUUCUUAGUAAGUUUUC